rnacentral:rRNA from 1 species
UACGAAGGGGGCUAGCGUUGCUCGGAAUCACUGGGCGUAAAGGGUGCGUAGGCGGGUCUUUAAGUCAGGGGUGAAAUCCUGGAGCUCAACUCCAGAACUGCCUUUGAUACUGAGGAUCUUGAGUUCGGGAGAGGUGAGUGGAACUGCGAGUGUAGAGGUGAAAUUCGUAGAUAUUCGCAAGAACACCAGUGGCGAAGGCGGCUCACUGGCCCGAUACUGACGCUGAAGCACGAAAGCGUGGGGAGCAAACAGG